CUGCAUAUUAAAAAUAAACUAAACAAAAAACAUGAAAAAAAACUAUGAUAGAAAAUCUCUCCAUAAACAAAACUCUUUAAGGACUACAUUGUGGAUGCUAGUGUGUUAUGGUAUGAGAAGGGGGUCUGCUAUUUAUAGAUGUCCAAAACUUUUUCUCCAAGAAAGAGGUUAGUCAAAUAUGAAAAAAAAAUAUAUUUUUUUCUUUCAGAAAAAAUAAAAGUAAUUAUGGUAACUUUUAUUUUCCUUCUAAAAAAAAAAUAAAACUUAAAUAUAGUAAGAAAAUCAGGGCAAAAACCCUAACAAAUCUCCCCUUUUUAGCUUGAUUUUCUUCACUUGAUCCGUCUUCUCUUCAUAUCACGUGCAUGAACUUCGUUCUUGAUAUAAUCUUCAUAACUGCUGCCGCCAUGGUUAAAAAUAAGGUUUAAAAUAUCAUGGUUAAAAAUUAGUUUAAAAGUAAUAUUUUAUUUUUAUUUUUAAAGAUGCAACAGCAGGCGUGUUGAAAAUAUGGUUGAAACUUGUUCUCCACACGUAGUUCGACAAAAAUCUUCAUUAUCGCCCAAAUGCUGCAGCUUGAUUUUAAAACCACUUUGAACCUGUUUAAUCUCGUCUCAUCACACUAUUAGACCAUUGAACUGUAAGCUCUGAUAACACUUGUUGGGUUCAAAAUUGAGAGGGCGUCAUGCGGAAGCUUAAAUUUUGCAAACCAUAAAGGUGAUAAAUCAGAUGAAACAAAAAUAUACUAAAAACAUUUUAUUAGAUAUGAUUUGGUCAAUUGACCUACAUAUUAAAAAUAAACUAAAUCAAAAUCAUAAAAAAAAAAUUAUGAGAGAAAAUCUCUCCAUAAACAAAACUCUUUAAAGACUACA
rnacentral:lncRNA from 1 species